UACGUAGGGGGCUAGCGUUGUCCGGAAUCAUUGGGCGUAAAGAGCGUGUAGGCGCCAGGUAGGUCUGCUGUGAAAACUCGAGGCUCAACCUCGAGACGUCGGCGGAAACCAUCUGGCUAGAGUCCGGAAGAGGAGAGUGGAAUUCCUGGUGUAGCGGUGAAAUGCGCAGAUAUCAGGAAGAACACCCGUGGCGAAGGCGGCUCUCUGGGACGGUACUGACGCUGAGACGCGAAAGCGUGGGGAGCGAACAGGAU
rnacentral:rRNA from 1 species